UUAUAUGGUCAACGUGAGCUCGCGCUGUUCAUUCCGUGUUUUUAUGCUAAUCACAUUUUAAUGGCCAGCUGUAUGCAGUCAUAGUAAGAGCAUGCGCAGUGUGUGACAAGAAAACGGCGAAUAUUUUUUUGAAGUUUUUGUUCGGUCUCACUCGUCCAGGGGAUUUCACGUCUGCAUCGAGCUCCCAGGAAGACUAUGUUUGGCUUUCACAAGUCAAAGAUCUACCGGAGUAACGACGGCUGUUGCAUCUGCAAGACCAAGUCCUCCAGUUCGCGGUUUACAGACAGCAGUCGAUAUGAAGAAACGUUCAGGCUCUGUUUUGGGCUCUCAGAGGACCGUGUUGGAGACAUCUGCAAUGCCUGUGUGUUGUUGGUGAAGAGGUGGAAGAAACUUCCCAAU